GCCUCAUUAGCUCAGUGGUUAGAGCACCGGUCUAGUAAACCAGUGGUCCAGAGUACAAAUCUCUGAUGAUCG